rnacentral:rRNA from 1 species
CGGACGGGUGAGUAACGCGUAGGUAUCUAUCUCCGGGUGGGGGACAACUGUGGGAAACUACAGCUAAUACCGCAUGAUGCCCGAGGGCCAAAGGCGCAAGUCGCCUGGAGAGGAGCCUGCGUACGAUUAGCUUGUUGGCGGGGUAAAGGCCCACCAAGGCGACGAUCGUUAGCUGGUCUGAGAGGAUGAUCAGCCACACUGGGACUGAGACACGGCCCAG